CAGAUUCAGGCUGAACCAGAAAAUGCAGUGUUGUUCAAUAACACAGUCUCAUCUCAACUGAUUAUCUAAAACAACACGGUGAGUCAUAGGUCUAUAACCCGUGGGUUAAAUACCUCACUGGCCAACUCCAUCACUAUUGACAGCAGCUGCUUGACAUGCAUGACAGAGCCUGUGUUCGAAAAGCAUGUAUAUGGACAGGGGACAGAACACCCAGAAGAGGAGAGAAAAGAUGGAGCAAAACCUAAACCAAAACAGAAGAGAAUGGCAGGCCAAAAAAAGAAAACAGUGAGAGAAGAAGAGAGCGAUCUUAAGUGGACGACGAAAGGAGCUGAAUAUUGAUAUCUCAAAGAGGACAAACUAAUAGAAAAGGCUGGUGGAAGUGGAUAUAUCAACUUGAGGCAGAGAAAAUUGAUCUGCAGUACCAACACUCACGGCAGAAAUAUGGUGAUGAAUGAUUAUGGUCAGCUUUCUGAUAUUACCAUGGCGGAGGCAGUGCAGUACCUGUCCAGUGGAGAUGUGAACUACCAGCACUAUGGCGCCUCAUUCGUCCAACACUCAGAGGACAAGGCCAAGCAGGAGGUGAGGCCCAGCCGUGGGUCUCCAGAACCCGGACUCAACAACACCG